GGAUCAUUUGCGAGAGAAGCGGGAAUUAACGAAGGAGGACAAAAGUGAGGAACAGCUGCUAAAGGAAAUGAAGAAGCAGACAAAGGAGGAACAGCAGACAGAGAGAAGAGAGAGUCAGGAGGCAAUAGAGAGCGGAAAAGAAGUUCUCAUUGAGAUGGAGAACCUGCAGGUGAGACUCAAGCCCACCUACUAAAUGGGCCUGUAGAAAAAGGACACGGGUGAAGAGUCAGGGUUAAAACUGUGAGCGUCAUUCCCCAAACGUUCUUAAAAAAACUCACCUACGCAGUGUUGAAGCAGAUUAACUGAUCUGUCUUCAUUAGGGAUUUGUUGUUAGGUAAGAACAGAAUCUACACACAAAGGUGCGAACAGUCUAUAAGAACACAUCAUGAAUCUGACGUAGACUUUUUUAGGACCUUUCUCAAGAAAAAUGAAAGAAAAAAACUUAAAUUGGUGAAUGAAGCCCAGUGUCUUCAACUUACUUAACCCUUACAAUCCCAGGCUUAUAAGGCCUAUUAUUCAGUAACUACAGGGCUUCAAUGCAAACUGGCUGAGUUAUUCUUAGAAUUAGGAAGUGUGUAAUAAAACUUUGGACCCUGGUCCAAAGAUUAAGGGGUUAAUCUUUUUGAACGCUGUGCUUAUUAUUCAGGAACUAUUAUUCAUUUUUGAAUAAAUACUUUUUAUACAUCUACUAAAUGCAAACAUAUCACUGUUUUUAACUAAUAUAUUUAAACAAAGUCAUAUUUCUCAGGGGCUGAUGAAGUCUGGACGGUUGUUUAGAUGCAGAUCUAGAACUUAUGCAUUCUUUUUUUAAGGUUGAAUAACUCUGUAGGUAACGUGGUUAGAUUAUAUAAUAUGUACACUUUAUGAAGCAAAAGCAUGUCUUAAUCUCUCAGAUGGAACGAGCAAAAUGUGGUGCAGAGAGUGCUGUCCAGUGUUCUGUCCAGUGUUCACUCCAGAUUUAUGUCCAUCAUGGAGUUCCGAAAAAAAUUCUCAAUGCAGCCUGUUCAGCAUGAGCAAGAGGAGUUGAAGGAUAAGUCUCCACCUCAUCCAUUGGUGCCACUCGGCGCUCUGACUGGGGUCCUGACCAUACACAUACGAAGCUGCAGAGACUUCAUGAAAACCAGUAUCCUUAGAGUUUAUUCCAGUCUAUGUGUUGUCUGUGGGUUUGUGCUGAUUCUGUCUGCAUGGAUCAAUUGUGCUGGUUCUGGUUUGGCAGUUUUCCUGAGCCCUGCACCAGCUCAUAUACAGAAAGGCACUCUAUGUGUUGUGAGGAUCACUGUGGGGAGAAUGGUGAAGAGCUCCCUGCUGCUCCCUUCGAAGACAUCAUCGCUUUCAAUGAAGUGA
ensembl:lncRNA